UGAAUACGAGACGCUAAGGCGUCGAAGUAGUGUAUGUCAUACUUCCAAGAAAAGCUUGCACUGUCAUAGAUAAAAAACGCCUUUACCAUAACCGACACAGGUGGGUAGGUAGAGUAUACUAAGGGGCGCGAGAUAACUCUCUCUAAGGAACUCGGCAAAAUAACUCCGUAACUUCGGGAGAAGGAGUGCCUUAUUCUUAAGGUUGCAAUAACAAGAUCCAAGCAACUGUUUAUCAAAAACACAGGUCUCCGCUAAGUCGUAAGACGAUGUAUGGGGGCUGACGCCUGCCCAGUGCCAGAAGGUUAAAAAAGCUGGUUAGCAUUUGCGAAGCUAGUAACUGAAGCCCUGGUGAACGGCGGCCGUAACAAUAACGGUCCUAAGGUAGCGAAAUUCCUUGUCGGGUAAGUUCCGACCCGCACGAAAGGCGUAAUGAUUUGGAUACUGUCUCGGAGAGGGGCUCGGUGAAAUAGACUUGUCUGUGAAAAUGCGGACUACCUGCACCAGGACAGAAAGACCCUAUGAAGCUUUACUGUAACUUGAAAUUGAAAUUGGACUUUAUUCGCGCAGUAUAGGUGGGAGGCGUUGAUUAUAAUCUUGCGGGAUUAUUGGAGCCAUUAGUGAGAUACCACUCUUGUAAUGUUAGAUUUCUAACUUUGAAUCAUUAUCUGGUCAAAGAACAGUUUCAGGCGGGCAGUUUGACUGGGGCGGUCGCCUCCCAAACGGUAACGGAGGCGUACAAAGGUUUCCUCUGAACGGUUAGAAAUCGUAUCUAGAGUGUAAAGGCAUAAGGAAGCUUGACUGUGAGACCUACAAGUCGAGCAGGGACGAAAGUCGGUCUUAGUGAUCUGACGGUACUGAGUGGAAAGGCCGUCACUCAACGGAUAAAAGUUACUCUAAGGAUAACAGGCUGAUCUCCCCCAAGAGUUCACAUCGACGGGGAGGUUUGGCACCUCGAUGUCGGCUCAUCGCAUCCUGGGGCGGUAGUACGUCCCAAGGGUUGGGCUGUUCGCCCAUGAAAGCGGUACGCGAGCUGGGUUCAGAACGUCGUGAGACAGUUCGGUCCAUAUCCGGUGUAGGCGUUAGAAUAUUGAGAGGAGCCUUCUUUAGUACGAGAGGACCGAGAAGGACAUACCUCUGGUGUACCAGUUAUCGUGCCAACGGUAGACGCUGGGUAGCUAUGUAUGGAGUGGAUAACCGCUGAAAGCAUCUAAGUGGGAAGCCCACCUCAAGAUAAGUAUUCUCAUC
rnacentral:rRNA from 1 species